CGGUGUAGUUUAGUGGUAGAACAUCAGCUUCCCAAGCUGAGGGUGCGAGUUCGAUUCUCGUCACCG
rnacentral:tRNA from 1 species